UGCGGGAGCUGGCUCGGCGGUAUGCCGGGUUGCCCGCGCUCCUGGCGCUGGGAGCCGGCGCGCCGUCUCUCGGCGGGCUCCAUGCCUGCUUCCGCAGC
rnacentral:tRNA from 1 species